GGGGGUAUAGCUCAGCUGGGAGAGCACCUGCUUUGCAAGCAGGGGGUCAGGAGUUCGAUCCUCCUUACCUCCA
rfam:Azospirillum sp. CAG:260 genomic scaffold, scf187